rnacentral:rRNA from 1 species
AGUGAACGCUGGCGGUAGGCCUAACACAUGCAAGUCGAACGACAUCAUAGGAGUUAGUGGCGGUUAGGUGUGUAAAGUGUCGGAACGUGCAUGAAGGCAUCGAAUUAUACAGGUUAACUUGUGCUAAUGUAGAAUGAGCUACGCGGGGAAAAGAUUUAACGUAUUUGGAGCGGCACGGGACCUUUUAGCCUGUCGGUAUGGUAAAGGCCCACCAAGGCUUCGCUAGGUAGCUGGUCUGAGAGACUGAUCAGCCACAUUGGGUCUGUGACCCGGCCCAAACUCCUACAGGAGGCAGCAGUGGGGAAUCUUGCGCAAUGGGCGAGAGCCUGACGCAGCCAUGCCGCGUGAAUGAUGAAGGUCUUAGGAUUGUAAAAUUCUUUCACCGGGGACUAUAAUGACGGUACCCGGAGAAGAAGCCCCGGCUAACUUCGUG